rnacentral:piRNA from 1 species
UGACAAGGAUGCAGAGCCUCUUGCGGCACUA